rnacentral:rRNA from 1 species
AGUCGAACGGGACUCUUCGGAGUUCAGUGGCGGACGGGUGAGUAACGCGUGAGAAUCUGCCUAGAGGAUGGGGACAACCACGGGAAACUGUGGCUAAUACCCAAUGAGCGGAGACGUUAAAGAUUUAUCGCCUCUAGAGGAGCUCGCGUCUGAUUAGCUAGUUGGUGGGGUAAAAGCCUACCAAGGCGACGAUCAGUAGCUGGUCUGAGAGGACAACCAGCCACACUGGGACUGAGACACGGCCCAGACUCCUACGGGAGGCAGCAGUGGGGAAUUUUCCGCAAUGGGCGAAAGCCUGACGGAGCAAUACCGCGUGAGGGAGGAAGGCUCUUGGGUCGUAAACCUCUUUUCUCAGGGAAGAAGAAAGUGACGGUACCUGAGGAAUCAGCCUCGGCUAACUCCGUGCCAGCAGCCGCGGUAAUACGGAGGAGGCAAGCGUUAUCCGGAAUUAUUGGGCGUAAAGCGUCCGUAGGUGGCUCUUCAAGUCUGCUGUCAAAGAGUGGGGCUUAACUCCAGAAAGGCAGUGGAAACUGAAAGGCUAGAGAGCCGUAGGGGUAGAGGGAAUUCCCGGUGUAGCGGUGAAAUGCGUAGAGAUCGGGAAGAACAUCGGUGGCGAAAGCGCUCUACUGGACGGUAUCUGACACUGAGGGACGAAAGCUAGGGGAGCGAAUGGGAUUAGAUACCCCAGUAGUCCUAGC